GUGCUCCCUUCAGCAGCACACAUACUAAAACUGGAACAAUACAGAGCAGAUAGUAUGGCCCCUGCACAAAGAUGACACACAAAUUUGUGAACUGUAAAAAAAAAAA